rnacentral:rRNA from 1 species
AAAGGAAUAGACGGGGGCCCGCACAAGCGGUGGAGCAUGUGGUUUAAUUCGACGCAACGCGAAGAACCUUACCCAGACUUGACAUCGAUGGAAUCCUGUAGAGAUACGGGAGUGCCCUUCGGGGCCCAGAAGACAGGUGCUGCAUGGCUGUCGUCAGCUCGUGUCGUGAGAUGUUGGGUUAAGUCCCGCAACGAGCGCAACCCUCGUCGUUAGUUGCCAUCGGUUAAAGCCGGGCACUCUAGCGAGACUGCCGGUGUCAAACCGGAGGAAGGUGGGGAUGACGUCAAGUCCUCAUGGCCUUUAUGUCUGGGGCUACACACGUGCUACAAUGGCAUCUACAAAGUGACGCGAACCCGCGAGGGGGAGCAAAUCGCAGAAAAGAUGUCUCAGUUCGGAUCGGAGUCUGCAACUCGACUUCGUGAAGUCGGAAUCGCUAGUAAUCGCGGAUCAGCACGCCGCGGUGAAUACGUUCCCGGGCCUUGUACACACCGCCCGU